CAGGAGUGAAGCACGGUGUACAAAUGAAAUGCAGAAACAAAACCCUAACCCUUCUUAAACCUUAUAAAAACAUUGCUUCCACUUUCUACAAAAUGUAUGCGGCAAUUCCGUAAUUGUGUGCGGGAAGGGGGAGAUAGUGCUUACGUAAGCCCUAGCCCACUGCCCCUGAUCCUGUUCAAGCCCCGUCAAGUGAGCAACAGCAGAGAAACUCAGCAAUGGCGAAGAAGCAAUCUGAAAACUCGGUCCAAUUAAAGCCUAACCACAAAUCUCUAUUGGCCUAUCCAUCGCUUUCUGGAUCGAAAAUAGUGGCUUUUCUAUAGCUCUCGAACACUUUAUCUCCGAAGCUCAAAUUCAGGUGUAUGCAAUUUAUCUAUUUAUUAUUUAUUUUUCACGGGUGAAUAUAAAUGCUAAUGAAUAAGAAAACGAAAAAGUUUAAGUUGGAUACACUGUUAAAGAUAUGUUAUACUGAAUUGGUGGUUGUACUCUGUUCACGUGUAUUCAUGAACUUUUUCCCUGGAGUGCUGGUAAAAUAUUAUAUAUCUUUCUGAGUUCGUAACUGUAACAAGAGAAGAAAUGGAAUGGAAAAAUUGAAAAUUUUCUGGGGACUGCCAAUGGACUUUCGGGAGUAAACUUCUAGAUAUCCAUAAAAUUUCCUGCUUGUUCCCGAAAACAUUGACAAAGAUGAAGUAACUUUGAUUUUGCUAUAUGUUUGCCUAAUUAUACAUGCAUAUCAGUAGCAAUUUAGGCUAUUGGCGUUGAAUAGUUUUAAACAUGAAGGCUGGUGAAAAGUGUGGAGAAAUAAGAGCAAGAGAGAAAAUGCAGUUUUGAUCGUCAUCCAUAUUAUUCAGUGUUACACUCUUGCAGUUUUUUCAUCGGGACAUAGCGCUGUAAAUUCUAGGUCAGGAUGACGAUUGGAAGGCUAGGACGCUU
rnacentral:lncRNA from 1 species